GUGCCAGNCGCCGCGGUAAUACGGAGGGUGCAAGCGUUGUUCGGAAUUAUUGGGCGUAAAGCGCGUGUAGGCGGUCUGUUAAGUCUGGUGUGAAAGCCCGGGCUCAACCCCGGAAGUGCAUUGGAUACUGGCAGACUUGAGUACGGGAGAGGAAAGUGGAAUUCCGAGUGUAGGGGUGAAAUCCNGUAGAUAUUCGGAGGAACACCAGUGGCGAAGGCGGCUUUCUGGACCGAUACUGACGCUGAGACGCGAAAGCGUGGGGAGCAAACNGGAUUAGAUACCCUGGUAGUCCACGCCGUAAACGAUGGGUACUAGGUGUCGCGGGUAUUGACCCCUGCGGUGCCGAAGCUAACGCAUUAAGUACCCCGCCUGGGGAGUACGGCCGCAAGGCUAAAACUCAAAGGAAUUGACGG
rnacentral:rRNA from 1 species